AUACGUAGGUGACAAGCGUUAUCCGGAUUUACUGGGCGUAAAGGGCGUGUAGGCGGUCUUGCAAGUCAGAAGUGAAAUUCCUGAGCUCAACUCGGGCGCUGCUUCUGAAACUGCAGGACUUGAGUGCUGGAGGGGAUAGCGGAAUUCCUAGUGGAGCGGUAAAAUGCGCAGAUAUUAGGAAGAACACCGGUGGCGAAGGCGGCUAUCUGGACAGUAACUGACGCUGAGGCGCGAAAGCGUGGGGAGCAAACAGGAUUGGAGACCCUGGUAGUCCUGGCCGUAAACGAUGAAUGCUAGGUGUGUGUGUAGAGAUACAUGCGUGCCGGAGUUAACGCGAUAAGCAUUCCGCCUGGGGAGUACGGUCGCAAGAUUGAAACUCAAAUGAAUUGACGGGG
rnacentral:rRNA from 1 species